rnacentral:rRNA from 1 species
AUUGAACGCUGGCGGAAUGCUUUACACAUGCAAGUCGAACGGCAGCACGGACUUCGGUCUGGUGGCGAGUGGCGAACGGGUGAGUAAUGUAUCGGAACGUGCCCAGUCGUGGGGGAUAACGUAGUGAAAAUUACGCUAAUACCGCAUACGAUCUAUGGAUGAAAGCGGGGGAUCGCAAGACCUCGCGCGAUUGGAGCGGCCGAUAUCAGAUUAGGUAGUUGGUGGGGUAAAGGCCCACCAAGCCAACGAUCUGUAGCUGGUCUGAGAGGACGACCAGCCACACUGGAACUGAGACACGGUCCAGACGCCGACGGGAGGCAGCAGUGGGGAAUUUUGGACAAUGGGCGAAAGCCUGAUCCAGCCAUUCCGCGUGCAGGAUGAAGGCCCUCGGGUUGUAAACUGCUUUUGUACAGGACGAAAAGGUUUCUACUAAUACUAGGAGCUCAUGACGGUACUGUAAGAAUAAGCACCGGCUAACUACGUGCCAGCCGCCGCGGUAA